UUACUACUGCCCUGGCAGCAGCUCCACUAAUCAAAGCAGAGCGUGUCCUGUUGGGCACUACUGCCCCGCGGGCACCAGCAGUCAGUACCAGCACCCGUGCCCAGAUGGCACUCUGAACCAGCAGGAGAGAAUGGGCUCGCCCCACGACUGUACACCAUGCCCUCCAGGUUCCUUCUGUGCCUCGUCAGGCCUGAGUGAGGUCUCGGGGCCGUGCUCUGCUGGUCACUUCUGCUCUUUGGGGGCCGUGUCCCCCCGGCCAGAGGACGGAGUGACGGGGGACAGGUGUCCUCGGGGACACUACUGUCCCCCGGGGGCCUCCGUGCCACUGCCCUGUCCGGCUGGUCGCCACAGCAACACCACCGGCAACGCCUACCUCUCUGACUGCAAGCCCUGCCCAGCAGGUUUCUCCUGCUCCAGUAGGGGGCUCUAUCUCCCCUCCGAAGUCUGCCCUGCUGGAUUCUUCUGCCCUGACGGGGAGGGCUCCAACCACCCCACUCCACAAACCUGCCCCCCGGGGUUCAUCUGCCCCCAAGGAAGUCCUGCCCCCACCCCCUGUCCAGCGGGGACCUAUCAGGAGCAGUCUGGCCAGACGCGGUGUGCCCCCUGUCCUGCUGGCUUCUUCUGCGCCGCCUCACUGCACCCUGGCACAGGUGGCACAGAGGUAGUAGAAGGCUCCCACACACCCACCCCCUGCCCCGAGGGGCAUUACUGCCCAGUAGGCACCCAGUCUGGCCUGGACUUCCCCUGUCCUGUGGGCUCCUUCAGUGACCAGCGGGGCAUACGCAGCUCCAGCCAGUGCGCCCCCUGUCCAGCAGGCCGGUACUGCAGCUCUGCCGGACUGGCUGGCCCAUCAGGACACUGCUCUCCUGGGUAUGUGUGUCUCCAGGGCUCUGUGCAGCCUCAGCCCACGGGCGAGCUGACCGGCAGCCGAUGCCCCGCAGGCUUCUACUGCCCCGCGGGCACCACCCACGCCCUGCCCUGCCCGCCCGGCACCUGCAGCUCAUUAGAAGGAGCGGUGUCAGUAGACGCCUGUCAGCUGUGUCCUGCGGGUCUCUUCUGCUCUGACUUCGGUCUGACGGCCCCAUCAGGGCCCUGCAGCGCUGGGUACUUCUGCUCACGAGGAGCCACCACUCCCACGCCUCACGACACAGAGACUGACAGUGAGAUGUGUGGGGGGGCCGUGGAGGUGGACACACGCUCGUCUGUCCCGCCCAGAGCAGGAGUGUGUCCCAGAGCAGGAGUGUGUCCCAGGGGACACUUCUGCCCCAGGGGUACAGCUGAGCCCCAGCCCUGUCCGCCAGGUAACCCUAGAGCUGUCCUCUCUUCCAGGU
ensembl:lncRNA